rnacentral:rRNA from 1 species
GACGAGGGAUCCUAGCGUUGUUCGGAAUCACUGGGCGUAAAUCGUUUGUAGGCGGCUCCGUAAGUCGGGUGUGAAAUCCCACGGCUCAACCGUGGAAGUGCAUUCGAAACUGCAGAGCUUGAAUAUGGUAGAGGAGAGUAGAAUACCUGGUGUAGUGGUGAAAUACGUAGAUAUCAGGUGGAAUACCGGUGGCGAAGGCGACUCUCUGGACCAAUAUUGACGCUGAGAAACGAAAGUGCGGGGAUCAAACAGG